UAGGGAAUCUUCGGCAAUGGGGGGAACCCUGACCGAGCAACGCCGCGUGAGUGAAGAAGGUUUUCGGAUCGUAAAGCUCUGUUGUUAAGGAAGAACGAGUGUGAGAAUGGAAAGUUCAUGCUGUGACGGUACUUAACCAGAAAGGGACGGCUAACUACGUGCCAGCAGCCGCGGUAAUACGUAGGUCCCGAGCGUUGUCCGGAUUUAUUGGGCGUAAAGCGAGCGCAGGCGGUUAGAAAAGUCUGAAGUGAAAGGCAGUGGCUCAACCAUUGUAGGCUUUGCAAACUGUUUAACUUGAGUGCAGAAGGGGAGAGUGGAAUUCCAUGUGUAGCGGUGAAAUGCGUAGAUAUAUGGACGAACACCGGUGGCGAAAGCGGCUCUCUGGUCUGUAACUGACGCUGAGGCUCGAAAGCGUGGGGAGCGAACAGG
rnacentral:rRNA from 1 species